UACGUAGGGACCUAGCGUUGUCCGGAAUCAUUGGGCGUAAAGCGCGUGUAGGCGGUCCGGUAAGUCCGCUGUGAAAGUCGGGGGCUCAACCCUCGGAUGCCGGUGGAUACUGUCGGGCUUGAGUACGGAAGAGGCGAGUGGAAUUCCUGGUGUAGCGGUGAAAUGCGCAGAUAUCAGGAGGAACACCAAUUGCGAAGGCAGCUCGCUGGGACGUUACUGACGCUGAGACGCGAAAGCGUGGGGAGCAAACAGG
rnacentral:rRNA from 1 species